GUGCUGCCCCAUCAGACCGACUGCAAGCACUGCCUGAGGGAAAGAGUUGAAGCAGAAGAUAGGAAAGCCUGGGGUUGAGUUUUGAAAAGCUGACGAUGUGGAAUGAAUGGUGAGAGAGUGCUAACUUCUGAACUUGUUGAAGCUGAGAGAUCAUGGACAUCUGCCCUCCAAGAUUCCUCAAGUGUCCAGGAGAGGCACGUCUCAUCCCCAUCCAUUCUAACCCCUGAAUGCCCGGAAGACAUCCCUUGCGAUGGUGGGAAAAGCUUCCAGGGGAAGCAUCAGUGAGUCCACCCUACGCGUCUCCUUCCACUCAGUGUCUACAACAGAGAGCCUUGCAAAGCAGGGUUUCUGAGGUCCGUUUCUGACUCCUACGUGGGACAUGCUGCCCCCGACCGAAAGGUGAUGAACUAACUCAGAUUCCAGAACUUGCCAUAACUCGACAAGUCCCUG